rnacentral:rRNA from 1 species
UUGACCUCAAAUCAGGUAGGACUACCCGCUGAACUUAAGCAUAUCAAUAAGCGGAGGAAAAGAAACUAACAAGGAUUCCCCUAGUAACUGCGAGUGAAGAGGGAAAAGCUCAAAUUUAAAAUCUGGCAGCUUCGCUGUCCGAGUUGUAAUUUAGAGAAGUGUUACCCGCGUUGGACCGUGUACAAGUCUCCUGGAACGGAGCGUCAUAGAGGGUGAGAAUCCCGUCUUUGACACGGACUACCAAGGCUUUGUGGUACGCUCUCGAAGAGUCGAGUUGUUUGGGAAUGCAGCUCUAAAUGGGUGGUAAAUUCCAUCUAAAGCUAAAUAUUGGCGAGAGACCGAUAGCAAACAAGUACCGUGAGGGAAAGAUGAAAAGAACUUUGGAAAGAGAGUUAAACAGUACGUGAAAUUGUUGAAAGGGAAACGCUUAAAGUCCAGUCGCGUUGGUUAGGAAUCAGCCUUGGUUUUCCUUGGUGUACUUCCUAAUCGACGGGUCAACAUCAGUUUUGACCGUUGGAUAAAGGUUGAGGGAAUGUGGCACCUUCGGGUGUGUUAUAGCCCUUGAUUGUAUACAGCGGUUGGGACUGAGGAACUCAGCACGCCGAAAGGCCGGGUCUUGUACCACGUUCGUGCUUAGGAUGUUGGCAUAAUGGCUUUAAUCGACCCGUC